GUAUAACUGGAAAUGCCAAAUGCCAAUCCAGUGUUUUUUUUUGGGGACGAGAACUUCAUUUUAAGACGAAAAUCGAACACUGGUAGAUUGACUCUUAAUCGUUCCGAAAUGGCACGCUAUUAAGAAUGUUUAGUCUAUAACGAAUGGCCAAGCUGCGUCAACUUCAACAGAAAAACUUGAAGAUAAACAGUUUCCGAAUAAAAAGAAAUGUAAAUAACUGCCGGCGUUUUGGAUUCAAUACAAGAAAACACUUAUGGAAAAACAUUUAUAUACAUAUGUACAUUGUUUUGCGAAUGCGGAUUUCGUUCGGAUUUCCCAAAAAUUGCCAGCAGACAGGGUGUUAGUUUGGGGAAUUUUAAAACAUGAAUAAUAGGGUCAUGGGCUAUUUUAGUAUAAAAUAAAUCUGAGAUUUGUUUUUAAUAUUGUGGCAAACCUAUUUAGAAAUACAUUGGAUAAUAUAUAUAAAUCGGAAAAAAAAAAUUUUGCCGAA